rnacentral:rRNA from 1 species
GACGAACGCUGGCGGCGUGCUUAACACAUGCAAGUCGAACGGAAAGGCCCUGCUUUUGUGGGGUGCUCGAGUGGCGAACGGGUGAGUAACACGUGAGUAACCUGCCCUUGACUUUAGGAUAACUUCAGGAAACUGGGGCUAAUACCGGAUAGAAGCUCCUGCUGCAUGGUGGGGGUUGGAAAGUUUCGGCGGUUGGGGAUGGACUCGCGGCUUAUCAGCUUGUUGGUGGGGUAGUGGCUUACCAAGGCUUUGACGGGUAGCCGGCCUGAGAGGGUGACCGGCCACAUUGGGACUGAGAUACGGCCCAGACUCCUACGGGAGGCAGCAGUGGGGAAUAUUGCACAAUGGGCGGAAGCCUGAUGCAGCAACGCCGCGUGCGGGAUGACGGCCUUCGGGUUGUAAACCGCUUUCGCCUGUGACGAAGCGUGAGUGACGGUAAUGGGUAAAGAAGCACCGGCUAACUACGUG